UUGAUGCUCAAGCACUGAGUGUCCUUGGGCAGGCAUGAGGGGACGAGCUCUCUCAUGAAGUGGAGAGGCUGGCUUUAGACAGAAGCCAGACAGUUCAUCCACAGCAACAGGAGGGAAGGUCAACUAUAUGGACCAAAAUGCAGAAAGACUUUGUGUCUCUCCAGAAUUCACAUGUUGAACCCUUAUCCCAGUAUGAUAGUAUUUGGAGGUGAGGUGUUUGGGAGAAUCUUCCAGAAUUAAAGACCCAGCAGUGCAAAGCCCCCCUGGAGCUUGUGAGGAGGAGAGACCAUCAUGUGGAGGGCAGUGACAGCAUUUUGAGCAGGACUCUGAUCCACCGCCCUCGUCUGCCUGAGCUGAAACUGGUGAUUAAACUGAAGAGAGGAUUUGGGGACUAGAGAAGGAGAGGCAAAUCGGAAGGUUCUGGGAAGCAGCGGGAAGAAGAGGAUUGAUAGUCAUUGACACACUGAGUGCUGGGACCUCCAUCUGUCUUUGUUCUCCCUGGCAGCUGUUUGGGAUGUUGUCUGAGAAUCUGACCAGCUCAAGAGGAGAGACAUGAUGCUGCUGAUAUUGCCAGAUUCCUAGCAAAAUGGCCUGGAAGGUUGACUUGCAGUGAAAACUUAAACUUUGUUUUAUUUUUCUGUCUUCUGUUCUGGCCAGACCUCCAUCUACAAUGUUGAUAAAGAGGUAGGGCAGAAAGUGUUCUUUUCACUUU